AGUAACGCGUGGGUAACCUGCCCUUAAGUCUGGGAUACCAUUUGGAAACAGAUGCUAAUACCGGAUAAAAGCUACUUUCGCAUGAAAGAAGUUUAAAAGGCGGCGUAAGCUGUCGCUAAAGGAUGGACCUGCGAUGCAUUAGCUUGUUGGUAAGGUAACGGCUUACCAAGGCGAUGAUGCAUAGCCGAGUUGAGAGACUGAUCGGCCACAUUGGGACUGAGACACGGCCCAAACUCCUACGGGAGGCAGCAGCA
rnacentral:rRNA from 1 species